rnacentral:lncRNA from 1 species
ACCAAGAGGGAGACCUUUUCAACGCCCGCGCGCGUUUCUGGAUUCCCUUGCCGUAGCGCCUAACGCAAUCCAAGCAUUCUCGCAGAUCUAACUCGGUUUUACUUUUCUGGGUCGGUCAGAGAUCUACCACCUUUUCUUGUGCCGAACGUUCGGCGGAGUCGUUGAUGGCGAGCGCGAAUCAAGGCUGUUCUUCGGAGAGAGUUGAGAGGGAAAUGAGUGAGCAUCGAG